GUAGGGGGCAAGCGUUGUCCGGAUUUAUUGGGCGUAAAGAGCGUGUAGGCGGCCAGACAGGUCCGUUGUGAGAACUAGAGGCUUAACCUCUAGACGUCGAUGGAAACCGUUUGGCUAGAGUCCGGAAGAGGAGAAUGGAAUUCCUGGUGUAGCGGUGAAAUGCGCAGAUAUCAGGAAGAACACCCGUGGCUAAGGCGGUUCUCUAGUACGGUACUGACGCUGAGACGCGAAAGCGUGGGGAGCGAACAGGAUUAGAUACCCUGGUAGUCCACGCCGUAAACGAUGGGUGCUAGGUGUGGGGGGUGUCGACUCCCUCCGUGCCGAAGCUAACGCAUUAAGCACCCCGCCUGGGGAGUACGGCCGCAAGGCUA
rnacentral:rRNA from 1 species